AGUGGACGCUGGCGGUAGGCCUAACACAUGCAAGUCGAACGGCAGCACAGGAGAGCUUGCUCUCUGGGUGGCGAGUGGCGGACGGGUGAGGAAUACAUCGGAAUCUACUUUUUCGUGGGGGAUAACGUAGGGAAACUUACGCUAAUACCGCAUACGACCUACGGGUGAAAGCAGGGGACCUUCGGGCCUUGCGCGAUUGAAUGAGCCGAUGUCGGAUUAGCUAGUUGGCGGGGUAAAGGCCCACCAAGGCGACGAUCCGUAGCUGGUCUGAGAGGAUGAUCAGCCACACUGGAACAGAGACACGGUCCAGACUCCUACGGGAGGCAGCAGUGGGGAAUAUUGGACAAUGGGCGCAAGCCUGAUCCAGCCAUACCGCGUGGGUGAAGAAGGCCUUCGGGUUGUAAAGCCCUUUUGUUGGGAAAGAAAUCCAGCUGGCUAAUACCCGGUUGGGAUGACGGUACCCAAAGAAUAAGCACCGGCUAACUUCGUGCCAGCAGCCGCAGUAA
rnacentral:rRNA from 1 species